CUAACAUAGUAGCCUGUGCAAUUAAGUAAUAGGGCCUAGCGCCUCCAUUUCUUUCGUAACAUCUAUCAAUCUCCUAGCAUCCUGGAGAGGUCUUCAUGGCAAUUCACGAUUGCAGCAAUAUGGAAAAUGGUUCAAAUAUGCCUUUGGUGGAAUUGACUUUUUAAUACUUUAUUCUGUUAGUCAAUUGUAAUUGACUUUAACGGGCAUGAACAUCCAUGAAU